AUUGAACGCUGGCGGCAUGCCUAACACAUGCAAGUCGAACGCGAAAGAGGGGCAACUCUCGAGUAGAGUGGCGGACGGGUGAGUAAUACGUAGGAAUCUGCCCUAGAGUGUGGGAUAACCUGUCGAAAGACGGGCUAAUACCGCAUAAUCUCUAUGGAGCAAAGGGGGCUAGCAAUAGCUUUCGCUUUAGGAUGAGCCUACGUCGGAUUAGCUAGUUGGUAGGGUAAUGGCCUACCAAGGCGACGAUCCGUAGCUGGUCUGAGAGGACGAUCAGCCACACUGGAACUGAGACACGGUCCAGACUCCUACGGGAGGCAGCAGUGGGGAAUAUUGGACAAUGGGGGAAACCCUGAUCCAGCAAUGCCGCGUGUGCGAUGAAGGCCUGCGGGUUGUAAAGCACUUUUGUCCGGAAAGAAAUGGCUCUGGUUAAUACCUGGGGUCGAUGACGGUACCGGAAGAAUAAGGACCGGCUAACUACGUGCCAGCAGCCGCGGUAACAC
rnacentral:rRNA from 1 species